rnacentral:lncRNA from 1 species
CCCAGUUUCCACAACUACAAGCGCGCCUUCUGCUGCUACCCGACCUUUGACCGAUCCUACUACACAUGCUGCUCAAAUGGGACUACCAGGGUCUAAUUAUCAAGCAGCCCUACCUUUAUAUCUACCUGGAGGGAACUUAGGUUCAUGGGGGGCAUCGCCUCCACCUCCAACUGCUAAUGGUAAUGGGCUUCCUAUGCCAAUGUAUUGGGAAGGAUACUAUGGUCCCCCAAACCGGCCUCCACAUUUGCACCAUCAAUCUUUGCUUAGGC